UACGUAGGGGGCAAGCGUUAUCCGGAUUUGCUGGGUGUAAAGGGAGCGUAGACGGCAGUGCAAGUCUGAAGUGGAAGGCGGGGGCCCAACCCCCGGACUGCUUUGGAAACUGUGCUGCUGGAGUGCAGGAGAGGCAAGUGGAAUUCCUAGUGUAGCGGUGAAAUGCGUAGAUAUUAGGAGGAACACCAGUGGCGAAGGCGGCUUGCUGGACUGUAACUGACGUUGAGGCUCGAAAGCGUGGGGAGCAAACAGG
rnacentral:rRNA from 1 species